CCUCCUAACUGCAGUGCUGGGCCUAAAGGAGAUAACGUUUAUGGAGAUCGACUAUACUUGGUCCACCAGGUUCUGUAUAUGAAGACUGCAACCCUGCGGAUCCUCUGGUUGGAAGCAUAGCCACUCAGUAUUUGACCAACAGAGCAGAACAUGACAGGAUAGCCAGACAGUGGACCAGGCGAUACGCCACAUAAUUCACAUAAUUUGUAUGCAGUGUGAAGGAGCAGAAGGCGUCUUCCCACUGUGCUGCAGAUCUUUAUAGCCUUUACAAUACGGACUUCUGUGUAUAUGUUAUACUGAUUCUACUCUCUGCUUUUAUCCUUUGGAGACUGGGAGACUCCCCAAAAAAGCUCAGCGAGCACCUGAUUAUCAUCUCAAACACAAUAAACAUGCUCCUGAAGGCAUAAAAAAAUAAAAUAAAAACUCCUGGACCAGUGGUAAAGAACCUGCUGGCCAAUGCAGGAGACGUAAGAGAUGAGGAUUCCAUCCCUGGGUCAGGAAGAUCCCCUGAAGAAGGAAAGGCAACCUAUUCCAGCAUUCUUGCCUGGAAAAUCCCAUGGACAGAGGAGCCUGGCGGGCUACAGUUCACAGGGUCACAAAGAGUCAGACACGACUGAAGCAACUUAUCGCACAAUCUAGCUUGAGCAGAUGUGUGCAUGUUGGGGGGCUGAAG
ensembl:lncRNA